GAAUAAGAAACGAAAAAUCGUAUUUAAUUUCGACUUAAACCUUGGCCCGGGCCCUUAUUUA
rnacentral:tRNA from 1 species